GCGACAUGGAGCAGCAAGGUCACCUCUUGGCUGGGGAGACUGUGUGUGUUCCUCGUUGUGCUGAUGGUGGCCAUCUUCUUCCUGGUCCUGCUGAAGAGGGACGUGCUCAACUGGGUCCUGCCACCGAAGCUGGCGGCCGCCCUUGGGAGCCGCCCGGCGAGGCCCCGGUUCUUUUGACAUCAAACUAAAAAGAGAAUAAAGAGAUCUGUGAUUGUAGGACA